UAUUAAUUUUUUAAAAUUUAUUUUGGAAAAAAAUGGGCAGAUUAAACAGUUUGUUUUGUGAUGGCUGUGGGGAUCAAAACAAGAAUCAACAUGUACUUCAAAGCUUGAUGUUUUUGUUCCUACAAGAACACCACCAUCAUUACAGAAAAUUGAACUGUAUUUUCCAGUUAGGAGACAUUGUUUCUUACCAGCGGAUCGAGUAUUUACCAGCAUUGAAUAAGAACAUAUCAAUGUAAAGACGUUAGGAUAGGAUUGGAAUUUGUAUGAUUUCAAAAGUUUAGGAAUACAAAUUAUAAGGCGUAUAUAUUUUAAAAAAUCUGAGAAUAACCGUCAAUGUUUGCAACAAAAAUCGUGGCUGUUAAAGUUUUUAUCAAUAUCAUGUAAAAUAUCAUCGGUGAUACUUAAGAGAGAUGUUGUGCAGUUGUACUUUUGAUGAAACCGUGAUGGAUAAUCGGGCAGCACUCUGAAAGUAUUGAGAUAUUUAUAGGUAAAAAUACUCAAAAACCUUUGACAACACCAGCAAUAAGCUGAUCGGCUUUGCAUCACCGAGUGCUUAUGGAACUCUUGAUUAUUGGACUAUUGGAAGUUUGAUUAAGACAGUGCGAAGAAUUCUCCACACGAUAUUGAUACUCAAAAGUAUAUCUCUGAGCUCACUAUACAGAAACUUGGGUUCAUUACCCAAAAAUAAGUGACUACAUAAUAUAAGUCUUUCUUUCAGGGUGAAUGGUUUGCAACUUUUGCAAGGACUUGCAAUACGAAAAGCUGCAAAAGAGAAGUUAUUUGAAAAUUCAACGAAAAUUAAUUUAUGUCUCGUUUAAAGUUUUCCAGUCUAAAGCGCUCAAAGUCACUGCAAGCAAUGUUAUUCGGGUUGAUGAAUUUUUGAUUUAAACGGCAAAGAGACGGAAAGCAUAUAAUGAUGAGAAAUAUAUAUACUUCAGUAACAAAUAAAUUCAUAACAUGAU